UACGUAGGGUGCGAGCGUUAAUCGGAAUUACUGGGCGUAAAGGGCGCGUAGGCGGCCUUCUAAGUCGGACGUGAAAGCCCCAGGCUUAACCUGGGAACUGCGUCCGAUACUGGGAGGCUUGGAUUCGGGAGAGGGAUGUGGAAUUCCAGGUGUAGCGGUGAAAUGCGUAGAUAUCUGGAGGAACACCGGUGGCGAAGGCGGCAUCCUGGACCGAGAUCGACGCUGAGGCGCGAAAGCUAGGGGAGCAAACGGG
rnacentral:rRNA from 1 species